AACGAACGCUGGCGGCAUGCCUAACACAUGCAAGUCGAACGAGACCUUCGGGUCUAGUGGCGCACGGGUGCGUAACGCGGGGGAACCUGCCCUUAGGUUCGGAAUAACUCCCCGAAAGGUGUGCUAAUACCGGAUAAUGUCUUCGGACCAAAGAUCUAUCGCCUUUGGGUGGGCCCGGGUUGGAUUAGCUAGUUGGUAGGGUAAAAGCCUGCCAAGGGGACGAUGCAUAGCUGGUCUGAGAGGAGGCUCAGCCGCGCUGGGACUGAGACACGGCCCAGACUCGUACGCAGCGGUGCAGAGGGGAACAUUGUAGACUGGGCGAAGGCGUGAUCCAGCAGCGCGGGGGGAGUGAUGAAGCCCGUUGGGUUGUAAAGCUCUUUUACCCGAGGCGUGAGUGACAGUACCGGGAGAAUAAGCUCCGGCUAACUCCGUG
rnacentral:rRNA from 1 species